UAGCCAAAAAAAAACCCGUCCCUCUGUCGUCGUCCCCAAAUCCCACCGCGCGCAGCGCCGCCGUCGAUCUGCCGCCGUCAUCGAUCCGCCUCUCACCUGCCGCCGUCGCUGCCGUCGUCGAGCCGUCGUCGCUGCCGUCGCCCUCCAUCGCAGCACCUCGCCUUGUCGCCCUCCGUUGCAGUAGCUCGCCAACCUCUGACCCGACGGGAGGACGCUGCUGCUACCCGACGGGAGGACGCUGCUGCUACCCGAGGCGGCAGCAACGACCACGGCUCUGGAGGCGAACUGCAGGCGGAAGCAGGCGUUUGCGGCAUCACUCGACGUGAACGACGACCAGAGGGUCCUCAAGGGUAAGAUGACGUACUAUGUCGUCUACCACGGCAGGGUUCCUGGAGUCUACGAGGACCGGGAAGAUCGAGGAGGCAGGUCCACCGUUUCAGCGGUAACAGUUACAAGGGGUACACCACUUUGGAGGAGGCGGAAGCUCGAUACGCCAACUUUCGAGCAGGACAGAGGAGGGAGAUGUGGAGGACCCCUUUCAUCGUGAUGAUGCUUGCCGCCACCGCCUCUAUAGUUUACUAUGUCAUUGUUGUUUAGCUAGGUCGUCGACUGGACUUGCAUGUAUUUGUGUAAUAUGUGCUACUUCGAGUCGUGAUGGUUGAACCAUAUGGUCAACUAUCUACUAUCUAAACUUAUCUUAUUAAUGCAUGCAUGUUGUGAACAUUUGGGACUUUCUAUAUAACUGUGUAUCUGUGUAUCUGGCUGUA